AGAUUGACUAAGUGUGCAGGAUAUACAAGUUGAUACUUUCACUGGUUUUUAUUGUGUGCGUUGCCGCCAUCAAUGCCAGAGGUGAUGAGGUGGAUGAGGCCCUCUACGACACGGAUGACAACCUGUCGACGGGCCUAGUGUUCCUACGUGACUGCAAGAGACGCAAAUUGGUGAAAUACGCCCGGAAAUGCGAUCUAACGGUCACCAGAAGAGGGAAAUGGUACAUCGUCAGUGACCCCGACACUGACAAGCGAAUCACGGCCAUCCCGCGCAAAGUCAAAAACAAUCGUUUGUGCCGGAGAAUCAUCAACCGUCUGACCGCUGGCUGUGAAGGAGGUAUAACAACCACUGAACCUUCUAUUCCCCAGCCAUCCGCAUACUACGGCGAAACAGAAUACUACAAACAGAACGAAACAUCUGAAAACGAUGCGACGGCACAAUUGUACGAGACCUACCAAUACAAAGAUUACUAAGGAAUUCAAUAUUUAAAAAGCCUCGCUCUGGGAAAACGGGGCUUAAUGCAUAUGCAUAUGCUAAUCAGGGACGUCAAUUUCCGACUAUAAUUAGUUUUUGGUAAAAAAAGAAACUUUAUUGACACGAAACGCCCCAUGUACGCGGAAAGUAUCGGCCCUGAUAAGCUUUUGCAGACUGCACUGGCUUAUUUGGGAUGACAGUUUACGCAAAUGCAUUAAACACCGAUUCUCCAGGGCAAGUCUCAAACGAAGAUGAUCUAUUGAAAAGCACGAUACAGUUGAAUAUCAUGAGAUAGUAUUAUAGUUGCUAGUGUUCUUUCGUUUUUUCUAAAACUGCCUUACUCGAUUAAAAAAUACGCCUCAUAUACGUCUUUGCAAGAUGAACAAUGUUAUUUUAAUAAUUAAGCAAGCUGUUGACUUACCAUUCUUUUGUUAGAAUACAUUUCAAAGCAUCGGAAAAUCGUGAUACAAUGUAUAAACAAAUCCUUAUACAGAGUGUAAGUAAAUAUAUACAUAAAGUGUAUGUUAAAACUGCUGUAAGUUUGUAUAUGUUUACCAGUAUAAUGAUUACCGUUAAAAGAAAACAUUACUUUUAGGUUUUCUAUAAAUGUUGAGUUUCUCUCCGGGAAACUUGGUUUCAUGAAUGUGUGUUAAGUGUCCCAUUUCGCAAAGGCUAAUGAAGGACGACACAUUUAUGCUUUUUUCGUUUAAAGGAAGUCUCAUCUUUCCGAACAUAUAGUUAAGGCUGAAAGUAUCGUCCCUAUAUAACCUGUGCAGAUGCACACGCUAAUGUGGAACUAUACUUUACGAACGCUUAUUUGAGUCGUGUUCAGUGCAAUCCGCACAGCCUUAUCAGGGACGACACUUUCCUCUUUCAUGUCAUUUUUUUUAAAUGAAGUCCUUUCUUAGCAAAAAUCCAAUUCAGGCGGAAAGUGUCGACCCUGAUUAGCCUGUGCGGACUACACAGGCUAAUCUGGGACGACACUUUACGCACAUGCAUUAUGCACAGUUUUCUCAGAACGCGACUCAUUAGACCACCCUUCCCAGAGCGAGGCUUACAUACUUACACGUUCCACAGAUGUAGAAAUGUUUUAUUUUACCAAUAUUGGUUACAUAAACGUUCCACAGAUCAUGUAGAAAUGUUAUAUUUUACCAAUAUCGGUUACAUAAACGUUCCACAGAUCAUGUAGAAAUGUUAUAUUUUACCAAUAUCGGUUACAUAAACGUUCCACAGAUGUAGAAAUGUUAUAUUUUACCAAUAUUGGUUACAUAAUAUACAUCCUGGCAUUGUGUUUUUAAGUCAGAUAAAACAUUAACUGUUGUCUUAAUCCACAAUUAAAACGAAAUCGAUUUUUUAUAGUAUUAAUUGAUGAAUCAUCAAACACGUUAUUUAUUAUAUAUUUUCAAUGGAAACGCUGUCAUAAAACCAGUUGAUAUAUGCGUGUAUAUAUUGAAACUAGCCAAUAGUAUUUAAGAUAAACACACAUCUUAAAUGUAUAUUUAUGUUGAAUUUGUCCGAGUCAUGUGUUCUUUUAUGUUUGCGACUAGACAAUUUCAACUCGGAGUUUUCUCAAGGUCAUUAUCAGAUAAGAAAUGUAUUGUAUAACGUGUUCCCUCCGUCGACUUUAAAACGAAUGCCAACAUGACCUGCUACAUAUACGCGCGUGUAAAUACACACCGGUAUAUAUAUAUAUAUGAGUCGUGCUUUGUGAAAAGGGGGUUAAAUGCAUGUGAGUAAAGUGUCGUCCCAGAUUAGCCUGUGCAGUCAGCAAAGGCUAAUCAGGAACGACACUUUCCGCCUGAACUGGAUUUUUGCUAAAUAAAUACUUUCUUUAAACGAAAAAUACCAUACAUGCGGAAAGUGUCGUCCCUGAUUAGCCUGGGACGGCACUUAACGCACAUGCAUUAAACUCCUUUUCCAAAGAUCACGACACACGCCUUUUCCUACGCCAUAUCAUACUCGUCUGAUAUCACAGUCAUCAACCAUAUAUUCUCUAUGUCACUAACAUUAGUUGAGAUGCGGUCUGCGAUAACGGGGCUUAAUGAAUGAAGGGAAUUGUAGUUAUAAUUGUGUGAAUAUGGCUCAUGACUUCACAAUGUUUUUGCGUGUACGAUAUGUCAUCAAAAUAUUUGUGAAAUCAUAAUAUGAGCCGCGUUCUGAGAAAACUGGGCAUAAUGCGUGUGCGAAAAGUGUCGUCCCAGAUAAGUCUGUGCAGUCCGCACAGGAUAAUCAGGUACGACAAUUUUCUCUUUUUAUUGUAUUUUUCGUUUAAAGAAAGUAUCUUAUUUACUAAAAUACAGUUAAGGCGGCCUGUAGUUUCCCAGCUAAGCCUGUGCGAACUUGGCAGACUAAUUUCGGAUCACACUCACGCACAUGCAUUAAGACCAGUUUUCCCAGAACGAGUCUCAAAUCAUUUUCGAUUAACUCCAGUGGAACUCCCAGAAAAAAAAUUCAAAUACUUUACACAUUUUAAGUAUUUACCACAAUUUGUGUUUCUUUUCUGAUUUCAAUGCGUAUGUUUUAUAUUUUUGUCAGCAAGAUAUGCAUCACUGGGGAUUCAAACCACUUGACAACUGUAUGGACAAUUUUUGAAGCACAUUUGAUUUCUAACAGCUUUUUCGUCUCGAAUUUCGGACUGUCAAGUGGAUAGUUUUGCAAAACAUCCGAAAAAGAAAUUGACAUUAAAAUCAAAGCCUUUGAAGUGUUUUGUCGGUGUUUUUUAUGAACAUGCAAACAUUGAUUGGCAAAUCGUCAUAUGUAUGAUUAACAAUGCUAUCAUACACAUAUGCAUAAGCCAUUUUGCUAAAUUCAACAACAUGUUUUAAAAUGUGAUAAG